rnacentral:rRNA from 1 species
AAAGCUCGUAGUUGAAUCUUGGGCCUGGCUGGCCGGUCCGCCUCACCGCGUGUACUGGUCCGGCCGGGUCUUUCACUCUGCGGAACCACAUGCCCUUCAGUGGGUGUGGCGGGGAAGCAGGACUUUUACUUUGAAAAAAUUAGAGUGCUCUAAGCAGGCCAAUGCUCGAAUACAUUAGCAUGGAAUAAUAAAAUAGGACGCGCGGUUCUAUUUUGUUGGUUUCUAGGACCGCCGUAAUGAUGAAUAGGGACAGUCGGGGGCAUCAGUAUUCAGUUGUCAGAGGUGAAAUUCUUGGAUCUACUGAAGACUAACUACUGCGAAAGCAUUUGCCAAGGAUGUUUUCAUUAAUCAGGAACGAAAGUUAGGGGAUCGAAGACGAUCAGAUACCGUCGUAGUCUUAACCAUAAACUAUGCCGACUAGGGAUCGGACGAUGUUAUUUAGUUGACUCGUUCGGCACC